UCAGGUUUCUGCUGGAAGGACUUGUGCUAUAUUGUCAUUUUACCAUUGAAAAAGAGUGCAAUUUGCUCCAGAAUUCUUCUUGUCUGACCAGCCCUAUGAAGAACAGCAGUAUACGAAGGAUAAGGAAAUGAAAUUGCAGCCCAAUAAUAUUAGCACAAGAUGUAAGAUAAAUAUAUAGAGAGCAGUGCAAUAUUGUAAAGAUCAAAUAGCCAAAGGACAUUAAAACCAACAAUAAGAAAUUCUAGGACCACUUGACCACUGAAAUUGUAAUUAAAAAGAAUGACGAGAUUGCUGAGAAAUUAUGUGAAUUCCUUCAAAUGAGCCUUUCCUACUGAGGACGAUAGGGUUGGGGAUAUUCCAAGCUCAAGGUUAAUUUUUACAGACAAUGCGUUGUCAGAGAAACGACCUCCGAAGAAGAGGCAUCAGAGCAACUAGAUAGUUUAAUGGUAGAAAAUCCCUGGGGCUGGGAACCACACUCAUCUAGGAGUUUUUAAAGGAACUAAACAAAAAGUAGCUAAACUAUUAACUAAAAUGCAUAAUAUAUCUUUAAUAACACGAUCCAUUCUUGAGGAUUCAAGAUUGGCCAAAAUGAUUAAGAAAGAAAGAAAGAAAGAAAGAAAGAAAGAAAGAAAGAAAG